UUAGAUACUCUAUAUGAUUAUAAUCUAUGAAAUACAAUGAACAAAGCUAAAAUACACUCUACUUUUCAAGGGACAAUCAACAAAUUAUCAUAAUGACAGCCACUACCUCUAUCUCACAUACACACACACAGACAUAGAACACAAGAAAAUGCUGUCGGUCCCUAAGUGGACCCUGCAUGCUCAUGCUGCAUGUUAGACAUAGUGGCACCAAUCAAUUAACUAUAAACUUUCUCUAUACCACACAAUAUAUGAACAUAAAUGAUGGUAUAGAACUACUACUGCAAACUUGUGACUAAACUAUGACUAAAACUACUCACAAUCUUAUGGACGCACUCAAAAACUGUGAAAAGGGAUGGGAAGAGAAAAGGAUGAAGGUGAGGGGAAAAGAGACGUCUCCUCCGUUCGGCUGCAUCACUGACUGAGGGGAUGUGCAGGUGGGCCUCUGUGGAUCCUGUUUUUGUCCCUUCAAAAUAAAAGUCCUUUGUAGAUACAAUAUUGAACAUCCUUUGCUCCUUCAAAAUAAAGGGUUGCAGAUGCUAUAGUGUAACCUUUUGCACAGUGCUUGCCUCACAGGUUGCUGUAGGACCAGGCCACACCUGGUGGUACCUGGUGGUGUUGCAGUACUCAGGUCUAAGCGGACAUCUCUCCAGGGUGCACACAGAAGACAGCUCAUGUCCUCAAGCUGAUAGAGCCAAGCUGUCAUCCUCUCUCCCCAUCCCUGAAUCCUCCACCCUCCAGUCCAUCCCAUACGUUACCUUACAGCACUUGUGCCAGACGAACCAGCAUGCCUGGAGUUGUCUCUGCACGCAGCCAGAGCAACACACUACCUUAUAAAGACAGGCCUGAACCAGUGGAGCAAUUGGAGCUGGUGGGCAGCAACAUGGCUUAAGUGCUUCCUGCAGAGCCAUGGACAGGAGGAACCGCCACUGGCCCUCAGCCUUUAGGGGUGGAAAGUAUGUGUCGUAGGUUUCGAUCCCACCUCCAACCUCCCAGCCUGGGAACGGAAGCUGGGAGCCGCCAGGGAAAACAAGCAGACAAUCAGAGUUGGAUGAGAAGAUGGACGACAUUCAGAAGCAGCCUAUCAGCUGAGCUUAGUUAGCUUCUCAACGAAACAAGAGGCAAGGAGAUAAAAGCUAGCCUAGCCCCUUAAAAAAGGGUGCUGGUGUUUGAUCGAGGUGAUCCGAGACACUCCGUGAGCCUGGUGGUAUUGUCUGCAGCUUCCAUGUUCCCUCGAUGAACUGUUGAUAACCUCGCCGACUGAGGCUGCAGACCUGUGCAGGAGAAUAGAUGUGCUGAAUGAAGGAUGUGACACUGUGUUUCAAUUCAUGGUCUCAAAUAGAUUUUCCACCUGAGGAAACAGGUUUGUUCUACAUAGAUAAAUGUCUUUAUCUUAACAUGUUCUCACCUUGAA